rnacentral:rRNA from 1 species
GGAGAUCACCGCUAUCAGGAUCCGAUUUAGACAUGCUAGGUGAAUGUGGUUCGUCCGCAUGCCGAACAGCUCAGUAACACGUAGUUAAUCUGCCCUCAGGUUGGAGAUAACCCCGGGAAACUGGGAUUAAUAUCCGAUAGGUUUUGGAUACUGGAACGUUCCUAAACCCAAAGCUCCGGCGCCUGAGGAUGAGACUGCGGUGGAUUAGGCUGUUGUUGGUGUAAUGGACCAACAAACCUAUAAUCCAUACGGGCGUUGAGAGACGUAGCCCGGAGAUGUGUUCUGAGACAAGAAUACAGACCCUACGGGGUGCAGCAGUCGCGAAACCUUUACAAUGUCUUCACGGACGAUAGGGGGAUCCUGAGUGCUCUAGCAAAGCUAGGGCUUUUAUCUACUUCAAAAGGGUAGGUGAAUAAGCAGUGGGCAAGACGGGUGCCAGCCGCCACGGUAAUACCCGCACUGCAAGUGGUGAUCGCGUUUAUUGGGUCUAAAGCGUUCGUAGCCGGUUUGACAAAUUUUUGGUGAAAUCCUGUGUAAAACAUAGGGCGUGCCAAAAACACUGCCAGACUAGGGACCGGGAAAAGCUGAGGGUACUUUAGGGGUAGGGGUUAAAUCCUGUAAUCCUUAAAGGACCACCUGUGGCGAAGGCGCUCAGCUGGAACGGCUCCGACGGUGAGGGACGAAAGCCUGGGGAGCGAACGGGAUUAGAUACCCCGGUAGUCCAGGCCGUAAACGAUGCCCGUUUGGUGUAUCAUUUUCCUUCGAGGAGAUGAUGUGCCGUAACGUAGGUGUUAAACGGGCCACCUGGGGAGUACGGUCGCAAGACUGAAACUUAAGGGAAUUGGCGGGGGAGCACCUCAAGGGGUGAGGCCUGCGGUUUAAUUGGAUUCAACGCCAGACAUCUUACCAGAGAAGACAGCAUUAUGACGGUCACUCUGAAGGGGUUACCUGAGGAGCUGAGAGGAGUUGCAUGGCCAUCGUCAGCUCGUGCCGUGAGGCGUGCAGUUAAGUCUGUUAACGAGCGAGACCCACAUCUUUAGUUGCUACGUUAUUCUUCGGAGUAGCGGCACUCUAAAGAGACCGCUGGUGAUAAAUCAGAGGAAGGAGUGGGCGACGGUAGGUCCGUAUGGCCCGAAUUCUCUGGGCUACACGCGGGCAACAAUGGCCAGGACAAUAGGUUGCAACACCGAAAGGUGGAGCUAAUCCCCGAAACCUGGUCUUAGUUCAGAUCGAGGGUUGAAACUCACCCUCGUGACGCCGGAAUCCCUAGUAAGCGAAAGUCACUAUCUUUCGCUGAAUACGACCCUGCUCCUUGCACACACCGCCCAUCAAGCCAUCCGAGUGAAGUUUUGGUGAGGAUCUUCUUUUUGGGAGAUUCGAAUCAAGGUUUUACAAGGCGGG